rnacentral:rRNA from 1 species
GCCUAACACAUGCAAGUCGAGCGCGCCCUUCGGGGUGAGCGGCGGACGGGUUAGUAACGCGUGGGAAUAUGCCCUUUGGUACGGAAUAGCCUCUGGAAACGGAGAGUAAUACCGUAUGAGCCCUUCGGGGGAAAGAUUUAUCGCCAAAGGAUUAGCCCGCGUUAGAUUAGGUAGUUGGUGGGGUAAUGGCCUACCAAGCCUACGAUCUAUAGCUGGUUUUAGAGGAUGAUCAGCAACACUGGGACUGAGACACGGCCCAGACUCCUACGGGAGGCAGCAGUGGGGAAUCUUGGACAAUGGGGGCAACCCUGAUCCAGCCAUGCCGCGUGAGUGAUGAAGGCCUUAGGGUCGUAAAGCUCUUUCGCCUGUGAAGAUAAUGACGGUAGCAGGUAAAGAAACCCCGGCUAACUCCGUGCCAGCAGCCGCGGUAAUACGGAGGGGGUUAGCGUUGUUCGGAAUUACUGGGCGUAAAGCGCACGUAGGCGGAUCGGAAAGUUGGGGGUGAAAUCCCGGGGCUCAACCCCGGAACUGCCUCCAAAACUAUCGGUCUAGAGUUCGAGAGAGGUGAGUGGAAUUCCGAGUGUAGAGGUGAAAUUCGUAGAUAUUCGGAGGAACACCAGUGGCGAAGGCGGCU